UGGGGAAUAUUGGGCAAUGGGCGAAAGCCUGACCCAGCAACGCCGCGUGAAGGAUGAAGGUUUUCGGAUUGUAAACUUCUUUUAAGAGGGACGAUAAUGACGGUACCUCUUGAAUAAGCCCCGGCUAACUACGUGCCAGCAGCCGCGGUAAUACGUAGGGGGCAAGCGUUAUCCGGAUUUACUGGGUGUAAAGGGCGUGUAGGCGGGAUUUCAAGUCAGAUGUGAAAACCGAAGGCUCAACCUUCGGCCUGCAUUUGAAACUGAAGUUCUUGAGUGCUGGAGAGGCUAACGGAAUUCCUAGUGUAGCGGUGAAAUGCGUAG
rnacentral:rRNA from 1 species